GGGCCUGUAGCUCAGGUGGCUAGAGCGCGGUCCUGAUAAGACCGAGGUCGUUGGUUCAAGUCCAUCCAGGCCCACCA
rnacentral:tRNA from 6 species